UACGUAGGGUGCGAGCGUUGUCCGGAAUUAUUGGGCGUAAAGAGCUCGUAGGCGGUCUGUCGCGUCUGCUGUGAAAUCCCGAGGCUCAACCUCGGGCUUGCAGUGGGUACGGGCAGGCUAGAGUGCGGUAGGGGAGACUGGAAUUCCUGGUGUAGCGGUGAAAUGCGCAGAUAUCAGGAGGAACACCGGUGGCGAAGGCGGGUCUCUGGGCCGUAACUGACGCUGAGGAGCGAAAGCGUGGGGAGCGAACAGG
rnacentral:rRNA from 1 species